GCGAAAAAGCAGCGGAGAGGGUUCGAAAUUAUUAUCUGUUGCCCUAUUUUCAUUUCGCCGCCCCAUUCCCACCGCUUCCGCCCUUCACUCUCUGUUUUUGCCUCCGAUUAUUCUGUUUUGCCCUAAAAAGCUGAAUUUGUUCAACACAGUCUCAGAUUGGAGUUUCUAUUAUACUCUUAAAAACCCCUCUCAAUCCAUCCCCAAAAUGGAGCCAGAUUUCUUCAAAAAUCUACCACCAGAAAUCAUCAGCGAGAUCUUGUUAAGAUACCUGUUGUAAGCAUUCCAAUAAGCAAAUGGUUUGCAAGCGAUGGCUCCAUCUGCUGGAGUCUGAUGCAUUUGUCAAGUCUCAUUUUGCCAGAUCCGCCCCCGCCCUAGUUGUUUUGGGGAAUUCAAAUCAGUUGAAAGUUUUGGAAUUGGAAGGCGAGCUCAAUCUCCAUCUCGAGAGCUACAAUCCACUCACCCACUAUGAUUUCCCUUACAUCUCCAUCUUUGAAGAAUAAGGAAUUUUUUUAAUGGUUUUCUUGUUAUAAGGUGGGUUUUGAUAAGCUUUGGGUAUGUAAUCCGAUCACUCGUGAAGUUAUUAAGCUAGAUCUGCCUUCAGAUCUGCCUACAGAUCCACAACAAUCUCUCAGAAUAUCUGCUUUGGGAUUUGGGGCAAGCAAGGUAGUAGUCUGUAUUAAACGUAGGUCCUAUCUGAUAAAUUGGAGUGUCAUGUAUACACCUUGGAACAGGAUCUUGGCGACGGCUUGAAGGUAACCCGUAUUGACCAGUUUGGUCUUUCAGGUGCAUUUGUUAAUGGAAAUCUCCAUUGGAUAGCAACCAUUGGAGAAGAUUCGUCAUGGAUUUCUUGCUUUGAUGUUGAAACAGAAUGUUUUAGCUUCUUUAAAGCUCCUCCUUAUCAUGCUCGAAGAUUUCCCUUCACAAAAGGAACGUCCAUUUCUGCUUUGAGCGGUUGCCUAUGGUUUUGCAAGGUAGCAUCUGAAUUUGUAAAUUCUGGUGGGCGAGAGCUACUAUAUGGAUUAUGAAGGAAUAUGGAGUGGACGAAUCUUGGAGCAUGGAAUAUGUGAUCCCUUAUGAAAGCUGAGACCUAUUAUCCCUGCAUCAGGUAUGCUGAUCCCAUCAAAGUUUUCGAAAAUGGGACCUAUUGAUGUUAGGGUUGUAAGCUUUUCCGAUCCUUUUCUACUACUCUAAGAAGACUAAAACUAUGCAAAGUAUUGAUUUGUUUGGUGCAGGGAGACCUCUGACCGUGUCAAGUGUGGGCUUUUCACUCCCACUUUGUUUCACUCAAAACUUUAGGUUUAGGUGUGGAGAAUGUAACCUCAUUCUGAUUGAUUGCAUUUUCAUAAUGCUGCAUCAACUAAAUGUGUGUUUGAAGAUUGAAUUAGUGAUGAAGCAUAUCAUUUAGAUCAAGGUAAUUAUCUAUAUAUAUUAUGGUUCCUUUUGGUACAUUUCAUAGUGGCAUUAAUGCUGCUCCUACUCCUACUUGUAUAGUUUGAGGGAUUAUUAUCCGUAUUUUUUUUUAAUGAAUCAUGUGAUGAUGAGAUUGUUGUUUGUUAUAUAUGUAGUGAUAUUUGUCAAUAUGAAAUUUGUAUGUAGCUUGUGUUAAUUUGAGUUUUUAUUUGUCUGUGGAAUGACUGAAUGAACAGUUGUUAUAUGUGGCUUUUGAGUUUGUAAAGAAUCAUGUUGUCUGAAUUGAGUAGAAGGCCUAUGAUUGGAAAUAAUGAAAAUUCAUUUGGAGAUGAGUUUGGAAAUUCUGGAAAUUCAUUUGGCUGAUAAAGAUGAAUUAGAAAUAAGGAGUAUGUUUGUCUUUACAAAAUAAUUAGAAUUUUAUAAUUGAAAAAUCUCACAUUAAUUUGAAUUUUAAGCACAACUACCAAACAACUAGUUUGUGUUAUGCAGGGUUUAUAUAUUAGCUACCAAACAGUUACACUAUCAAUAAUACCUUUAUUUAGGAUAGGUAUCUUGAAUUUACUUAUCUUAAUUUAUCUCAACAUGGCUAGCAAACAUGGCUUCAUGUAUUAUUAUGUGGAUUAGAAUUUAGACACAACACUACUUAAACACCAUCAUAAAUCUUCAAUAAUAUAUUACUUCCUUUGUCUCAUUGAUAAUGACUCAUUACUUUUGGGUAGGGAUGUCAGUGGUUGGAAAUUACCUGGACCAGAACCGAAACUGUUCAUUACUCGUUGAGCUAUUAAGCAAUGGUUCUGGUUCUGGUUCUAGACCCGACCUGCAUAGACCCAUAACCUAAUCGGUCCAGACCCAAUUCGACCCGUUUAUUUUGGGUCCGGUCCGACCUGAACCAUAAACCUUUUUUUCGAGUUCGUUUCUUUUUUAUAUAUAUAGUUUUGAGCCCGAUCCGACCUGAUCGUAAAUAUAUAUAUAUUUUUAAAUUUGAUUUCAGUACGACCCAUUGUGACAUAAUAUGAUUAAAGAGCACAAUCAAACAGAAAACGUAAAGAAGACACAAAUUUAUGUAGUUCACCAAUUUGGCUACAUCUACGGGCAGAGUGGAGAACAUAUUUUACUAUGCGGCUAGGGCUACCCACGGGUAGCGAGACCCCCGUACAUUUUGACCGAAGUGGGAAAUUCAAGGCAUCAACAAAAUGCAUUUCAUUUUUUACAAAUUCUGGUAUUUUUGCCACCCCACCCCCACCCACCCCCUACCCCCCAAGCCAAUUUUUUUUUCUUCUACAAAUCUGAUUUUUUCACCACCGACCUACCACCCACCUGCCCCACAACCCCCAAGCCAAUUUUUUUUUUCCUAUUUUUUAAGUAUAUAAAUUUUAUUAGUUUUUUUAAAAUUGAUCUCGAGGGGUGGGGGCAGGGGUGGUCAGCGGUGAAAAAAUCAGAUUUGUCGAAAAGAAGAAAAAAAAAUAGGGUUGGGGGGGGGUGGCGAAAAAACAAGAAUUUGUAAAAAUGAAAUUCAUUUUUGUCCGAAACUUUAUGCAUUUUUUGUGUAAAAAGUUUUGUAUUUUGAAAAAAAAAAGAAAAAAUUGGCUUCCGGAGGCCGGGGGGGUUGGGGGGGUUCGUGGGCGAUGUCUGUAAUGUACUCUGUCGAACUCGAAAUGUCAUAUUGAGGGAUCUGAUUCCAAAUUCCAAAUUCAGACGGUCAUACCCAUUGGCUUUUUUGGGUUUGGUAAUGGGUAUUAUUGGAUCCAUGUGUAUUAUCAGACCCAUGGGUAAUUAAGCUACCCGAACCAUUUUAUUUUAUCACUUAAUGGUUCGUUCCAGAUCCGGAUCCAAUAAGCAAUGGGUCGGUUCUGAAUCUGGAACCAUAAUAAUUUUAACGAUUCUGGUCCGGGUAAUACCCACCCAUUGACAUCCCUACUUUUGGGCACUAUUAUUAAGAAAAAGAGUGAUUUAAGGGUAAAAGUGAUAUAAAGUGGUGUCCAUAAUUUUUUGUGAGAGAAGGUGGUUUACUUUUAUGGAAUACGCCAUUAUCAAUGGGACAGACUAAAAAAGAAUGUGAGUCAUUAUCAAUGAGACAGAUGGAGUAUUAUUUAAGAAUCUUACACUAACACAUAAAUGUAAGCUGGAACACAAAAUAGCUAGGGAAUUAUGCAAAAAUAACUGAGUUUAUCUCCUCACUAGUACAUACAUAAUUUAGGGCGAAAGGGUAUUAUCAUAUACUCCCUUCGUCCGCGAUAUCGUUUCCACAUUGUGAACGGUGCGAUUUUUAAGAAAAAUGAUGAAUAGUAGUAGAUGGUAGUGGAUAUUAUAGUGAGUGGAGUUUGGGUCUCACUAUUAUUGUGAGUGAAAGUUUGUGGACUCUACUUCUAUAAAUGAAAGUGGAAACGAUAUCGCGGACGGACCGAAAUGGCAAAUGUGGAAACGAUAUGGCGGACGGAGGGAGUAUUAUGUUUAUCUAGUGUGAUGUGGACAAAAAUACGCAUCGCUACAACACCUGAAGAGAGUAUCCAAAUUUAGAAAACGCCCACAAGGAACAACACUGUUUUAUUCCGGAGCAGUCCUGUAGGGCCCAAAACACCGCCGCAAAGAACAAGCAGAAGCCCAAUUAUGAGGAGUCCAUAUAAGCCCGUUGAGCUCGUUAGCCCUUAAACUACUUUGACCGAGGCCCAAACUACAAUCGCCCAUGAUAUUGCAAGCCUAACUCCCUGUAGAUACAACCCACCCUAUGAAGAAUUCAACAAGUGCUGAUAAUCAAGACCGAGAUCAAAAAGAUUUCAGGAAGAUCGGGAUAAAAGCAUAAAGAUAAGCAUGAAGAUUGAUAGUUCUGUUCUAAGUCUAGAUAGAGUUUUAUUCCUAACACAAUUCAUAGUCAUUACCUAUAAAUAUGGGUGAAGCCCUGAUGUAAGAUCAUCGUCAAUCAUAGUUUUCUUAUUCGAAUAGCCUCACGCAUAAAAUCAAUACAAAGUUCUGUGUUUUAUCAUUCUUUGCUUUCUUGUUGCUUUCUAUCAUAGCUGUUAUUUUCGGGCACAACAUAGUGCUACUUAUUUCAACAAACUUUGAUCAUAGUGAUAUAUAUCUAUAUCUAUCUAUACUAAUAGAAAAAGUAUGUUGGGCACAAAGUAUAGAUUUCCUUAUAACAUAUUUAUUUUUAAGGGCAAUUCUGUAAAUUAUACUCCCUCCGUCCGCGAUAUCGUUUCCACAUUGUGGACGGCGCGGGUUUUAAGAAAAAUAGUGAAUAGUAGUUGAUAUGUACGUAGUGAGUGGAGUUUGGGUCCCACUAUUGUUGUGAGUGGAAGUUUGUGGACACUACUUCUAUAAAUGGAAGUGGAAACGAUAUCGCGGACGGACCGAAAUGGCAAAUGUGGAAACGAUAUCACGGACGGAGGGAGUAUAAUUUAAAAAAAUAAAAUAAUUUAUAAAAUAUUAAAAUGCUACAAAAAUAUAUUAAUUAAUUACAUCACCUUAUCCUUAAAUGAAUUUACAUCCCCUUAUUCAAAUCUAUUUGAUAUAUAUCUGAAACUUUUUUUUAGAAUUCUGAAAAAAAAAACAUCCUAUAAAAUCUAUUUGCUUAACUAGAUAAAUAAAAAUAACAAUAAAUCACUAUAUAUAAAUAAAUAGAGUACAUAUACACUAAACUAUAUAUAUAUAUGUUAUCGUACUUUGAUAUGUAUAUGUUUGAAAAUUUAGUAUAAAUGAUAGAUUUCUUAAAAAAUACAAUCAAAUAUUUAAUUAGUUUAGAGAGAUACUAAUAUAUCUUGAUAUGUACAUGUUUAAAAUUUUAGUGUAAAUGCUAGAUUUUUUAAAAAAUACAAUAAAAUAUUUUAUUACUUUAGAGAGAUAUUAAUAUAUCGAUAAAUUAAUGAUUUAUUAAUUUUGAUAAAUUAAGUGACGAUGAAGCGCAGUCUGUUGGUAAGACGCUUCCCCUCCAACCAAUAGGUCGGGGGUUCGAGUCACCCUAGGAGCUAGAGUGUGAGUGAAUUUUUUCCUUUCUUUGGUUGUAACAAUUUAAAAAAAAAAAUUUGAAAAAUUAAGUAAUUUUUUAAUUCAUAGAGUGUUUUCUUAAUUUUUAAUUACAAUUUUAAAUCAAGUUAUAACAUGUAAAAAUAAAUGUGAGAUAAUAUUUAAAUUAAAUAAAUACAUGAAUAUAUCAAUAUAUCGUGCCUGAUAUUGUUGAAGAUCCUAAUGAUGAUCAAGUUGAAGAUGAUUCAACAAUAGAUUAAUAUUUUAAAAAAGUUACCAAAGUAUUCAUGUUGGGGAUGAAUAUGACAAUUACGGAAGUGACAUCAGUCACGUCUGGAUCGACGGACACUAGCAACCUAAAACCACGAGCAACAUUAGAGCCCUCCGAUGCCGGUGGGGGUGUCGAUGGAAGGGCCUCCGAUGCUCAAGUUAAUAAAUUGAUAUAAAUAAUAGACGUAAGUAACAUAAUAAAAUAAAUAAAAUAAAAGAGAAGAUAUAGUAACAAGUAGUAUAUCCGGAAGAUCGGGAUAUCCCGGUGGUCAAAGUUAAAGCUAAUGAGCGAUGUGGAAUAAAGGACGAUGGACGUCCGGCUAGCGGGGCUAGUCGGGUGAUCGAAACCCCUAGAGUGUUGUGAGCAUGGAGGCGGAACGAUAGAGCAGGAAAAGCGAGAGUGAGAGAUCGUGUGCAAGUACAAGCAUUGAUACGAGUGAUUGUGGAUCUUUAUCCUGAUUAAUAAGUUUGAAUAUAUACAGGACGAACCUACGGAUAGACGGCUAGAGUUAGGGUCUUGCUGGAAUGCCUGUUGCAACCCUAGCGGUUCCGACUUCUUAGGAAAUGAUCUCCUACGACUUUCGCUUGAUUUCCCUUACCACCGAGCAAAAAUAAAGAGUUCUGUUAAUGGUUUUCUUGUACUAAGGAUGCAUGUUGAUGUUGAUCUAAGGGUGCGUGUUGAUAUGCUUUCUAUAUGCAAUCCGAUACUCGUGAAGUUAGUAAGCUAGAUCUGCCGUCAGAUCCACAAAUAUCUUCUUCAGAAGUAUCCGCAAAAUCACUGGCCGAUACAAGGCGAUCUGUAUUAAAGUUGAGGACUGUGAUGAUAAAUUGGAUUGUCAUGUAUACACUGGAACUAUGCAAAGUAUUGAUUUGUUUGGUGCACGGGAGACCUCUGACCGUGUCAAGUAUCGGCUUUUCACUCCCACCCUUGUUUCACUCAAAACUUUAGGUUUAGGUGUGGAGAAUGUAACCUCAUUCUGAUUGUUUGCAUUUUCAUAAUGCUACCAUCUCUUUAGUCUAGGACUAGCAUACAACUAAUGUAUGUUUGAAGUAUUGAAUUUGUAUCAUUUAGAUCAAGGAAACUAUAUAUAUGUAUAUUAUGUUUCCUGCUAGUUUGAAGGAUUAUUGCCUGUGCUUUUUUGUGAUGAAUCAUGUGAUGAUGAGAUUGUUGUUUGUUAUAUAUGGAUUUAUGCAGUGAUAUCUGGCAAUAUGAAAUAAUUGCAUGAUUGGACAAAACAAGAAUAGAGGAUAGGAUGUGUAUAGAUUAAAGAAUUAUGUUAUGUGAUACGCCCAACCCAAUCUCUAGAUUGGCCCAAUUAUGCUCCAACCCAUUAGCCCAUUAGGUUUUUAUUAUCAAUAUAAAUAUGUAAUCUCUAGUUUGCUCAGCAGGAAAUGAAUAUUUUGGUCUCACUUUUUUCUUAAUUUCUGGAGUUUGAGCUUGCUCGAAAAGCUCUACCAUUGAUAUAAUCGUAUCAAUUGGUGCUUUCAUUGACAUAAACUCUCUUUGAAUAUCCAUUCCUUCUCUCUUUCUUCUCUUCUCCCUCUUCUCUUUCUAAACCCACCCUAACCCAAUUAGUUCAUGAUUUUUUUUUCACCUCUCAAUCCAUCCCAAAAUGAAGCCAGAUUUCUUCAAAAAUCUACCACCAGAAAUCAUCACCGAGAUCUUCUUAAGGCUACCUGCUGUAAGCAUUCUAAUAAGCAAAUGCGUUUGCAAGCGAUGGAUCCAUCUGCUGGAGUCUGAUUCAUUUGUCAAGUCUCAUUUUGCCAGAUCCGCUCCCGCUCUAGUUGUUGUGGACGAUUCAAAUCAGUUGAAAGUUUUGGAAUUUGAAGGCGAGCUCGAUCUGAACCUCGAGAGCCACGAUCCACUCAUCAAGUAUGAUUUCCCUUACCGCCAAGCAAAACUAAGCAGUUCUGUUAAUGGUUUGAUUGUACUAAGGGUGGGUGUUAAUAUGAUUUGUGUAUGUAAUCCGAUCACUCGUGAAGUUAUUAAGCUGGAUCUGCCUUCUUCUUCAAGAGUAUCUGGUUUUGGAUUUGCGGCAAGCAAAAUCAGUGGCCGAUACAAGGCGGUCAGUAUUAGAAGUAAGCCCUAUGAUGAUGAUAAAUUGGAUUGUCAUGUAUGCACUCUUGGAACAGGAUCUUGGCGACGCCUUGAAGGUAUUCCGUAUGUGCACAUGUAUGGUGAAGGUGCAUUUGUUAAUGGAAAUUUCCAUUGGAUAGCAAACAUGAAUGGAGAUGCGGCGUCAUGGAUUUCUUGCUUUGAUGUUGAAACGGAAUGUUUUAGCUUCUUUAAAGCUCCUCCCUAUCUUGCUCAUGAAAUCUUCAGAAGAGGAACGACCUUGUCCGUUUUGAGCGGUUGCCUAUGGAUUUGCAAGGUAACAUGCGACUGUAAAGAUGAUGGUUGGCGAUGUGAGGUUAGUAUAUGGAUUAUGAAGGAAUAUGGAGUGGACGAAUCUUGGAGCAAGGAAUAUGUGAUCCCUCUUGAUGAUGACAUGCAGAGAGUUGAUCCCAUCAAAGUUUUCGAAAAUGGCGACCUAUUGAUGUUAGUGACGAUAGACAUUUCUGGGCGCCUUUUCUACUACUCUAAGAAGACUAAAACUAUGCAAAGUAUUGAUUUGUUUGGUGCAGGGGAGACCUCUGACCGUGUCAAGUGUGGGCUUUUCACUCCCACCCUUGUUUCACUCAAAACUUUAGGUUUAGGUGUGGAGAAUGUAAUCUCAUUCUGAUUGUUUGCAUUUUCAUAAUGCUACCAUCUCUUUUGUCUAGACUAACAUCAUCUAAAUGUAUGUUUGAAGAUUGAGUUAGUGAUGAAGCAUAUCAUUUAGAUCAAGGAAACUAUCCUAUAUAUAUUAUGGUUCCUUUGGUACAUUUCUUAGUGGCAAUGAUGCUGCUCCUGCUUGUACAGUUUGAAGGAUUAUUGCCUGUGUUUUUUUGUG
rnacentral:lncRNA from 1 species